rfam:Callipepla squamata strain Texas jcf7180005229182, whole genome shotgun sequence.
AGAUGUGAGGAUGAUCUGGCUGGCUAGGCAGGUGUCUCCUUUCUCCCUCACCACUCCACGUCUGUCUGUCCCAGGCUAGGCAGGUGUCUCCUUUCUCCCUCACCACUCCACGUCUGUCUGUCCCAAAGCUCUGCACUUGGUGAAAGAGAACAACCUUCCCUGAAAGAGAUGUACCAUUCAUGAAUAGUAGCUGCUCUUCCUUGCCAGGACCUCCAAACAAGCUCAGGGUCCAUUUGUAGGAGAACUGCAGACACAUCCACGUGAGGCACUGCAUGGGGCAGUCUGCCAUUGUUU